UACGUAGGUGGCAAGCGUUGUCCGGAUAUAUUGGGUUUAAAGGGUGCGUAGGCGGCCAUGUAAGUCAGUUGUGAAAUACCCCGGCUCAACCGGGGGGGUGCGAUUGAUACUGCGUGGCUUGAGUGGCAGCGAGGUUGGCGGAAUUGACGGUGUAGCGGUGAAAUGCAUAGAUAUCGUCAAGAACACCGAUAGCGAAGGCAGCCAACUAGGGGCCAACUGACGCUGAGGCACGAAAGUGCGGGGAUCAAACAGG
rnacentral:rRNA from 1 species